GCGUUGAUGGUGUAAUGGUUAGCAUUGUUGCCUUCCAAGCAGUAGAUCUGGGUUCGAUUCCCGGUCAACGCA
rnacentral:tRNA from 1 species